ensembl:snoRNA
AUCUCCCUUUAUUAGCAUAAAGCGUGAUGAUUUGGGUUUCACACCACUGUGUGAUACAUGCCUCCCUCAAACCUUGUUAUGACCAUGGGACAUUACCUGUCUGAUG